rnacentral:rRNA from 1 species
GAUGAACGCUGGCGGCGUGCCUAAUACAUGCAAGUCGAGCGAACGGACGAGAAGCUUGCCUCUCUGAUGUUAGCGGCGGACGGGUGAGUAACACGUGGAUAACCUACCUAUAAGACUGGGAUAAAUUCGGGAAAACGGAGCUAAUACCGGAUAAUUUUUUGAACCGCAUGGUUCAAAAGUGAAAGACGGUCUUGCUGUCACUUAUUGAUGGAUCCGCGCUGCAUUAGCUAGUUGGUAAGGUAACGGCUUACCAAGGCAACGAUGCAUAGCCGACCUGAGAGGGUGAUCGGCCACACUGGAACUGAGACACGGUCCAGACUCCUACGGGAGGCAGCAGUAGGGAAUCUUCCGCAAUGGGCGAAAGCCUGACGGAGCAACGCCGCGUGAGUGAUGAAGGUCUUCGGAUCGUAAAACUCUGUUAUUAGGGAAGAACAUAUGUGUAAGUAACUGUGCACAUCUUGACGGUACCUAAUCAGAAAGCCACGGCUAACUACGUG